rnacentral:rRNA from 1 species
GAUGAACGCUGGCGGCGUGCCUAAUACAUGCCAGUCGAGCGAACGGACGAGAAGCUUGCUUUUCUGAUGUUAGCGGCGGACGGGUGAGUAACACGUGGAUAACCUACCUAUAAGACUGGGAUAACUUCGGGAAACCGGAGCUAAUACCGGAUAAUAUUUUGAACCGCAUGGUUCAAAAGUGAAAGACGGUCUUGCUGUCACUUAUAGAUGGAUCCGCGCUGCAUUAGCUAGUUGGUAAGGUAACGGCUUACCAAGGCAACGAUGCAUAGCCGACCUGAGAGGGUGGUCGGCCACACUGGAACUGAGACACGGUCCAGACUCCUACGGGAGGCAGCAGUAGGGAAUCUUACGCAAUGGGCGAAAGCCUGACGGAGCAACGCCGCGUGAGUGAUGAAGGUCUUCGGAUCGUAAAACUCUGUUAUUAGGGAAGAACAUAUGUGUAAGUAACUGUGCACAUCUUGACGGUACCUAAUCAGAAAGCCACGGCUAACUACGUG